UACGUAGGUGGCAAGCGUUGUCCGGAUUUACUGGGCGUAAAGGAUGCGUAGGCGGACAUUUAAGUCAGAUGUGAAAUACCCGAGCUUAACUUGGGUGCUGCAUUUGAAACUGGGUGUCUAGAGUGCAGGAGAGGUAAGUGGAAUUCCUAGUGUAGCGGUGAAAUGCGUAGAGAUUAGGAAGAACACCAGUGGCGAAGGCGGCUCUCUGGGACGGUACUGACGCUGAGACGCGAAAGCGUGGGGAGCGAACAGG
rnacentral:rRNA from 1 species